rnacentral:rRNA from 1 species
UUAGUACGGCGAGUGAAGCGGCAAAAGCUCAAAUUUGAAAUCGGCCAAAGGUCGAGUUGUAAUUUGUAGAUUGUAUCUUGAGAGCGGAUUAAAGUCUGUUGGAACACAGCGCCUUAGAGGGUGACAGCCCCGUAAAAUCUAUUCUCAUUGUAAGAUACUUUCGAAGAGUCGAGUUGUUUGGGAAUGCAGCUCUAAGUGGGAGGUAAAUUCCUUCUAAAGCUAAAUAUUGACGAGAGACCGAUAGCGAACAAGUACUGUGAAGGAAAGAUGAAAAGCACUUUGAAAAGAGAGUGAAAAAGUACGUGAAAUUGUUAAAAGGGAAGGGUAUUGAAUCAGACUUGGUGCUGUUGUUCAACUGUGUUUCGGCAUAGUGUACUCAGCAGUACUAGGCCAAGGUGGGGUGUUUGGGAGUGAAAAAGAAGUUGGAACGKRMCUCUUGCGGAGUGUUAUAGCCUACUUUCAUAGCUCCUCAGGCGCCUCAGGACUGCGCUUCGGCAAGGACCUU